AGAGUGAACGCUGGCGGUAGGCCUAACACAUGCAAGUCGAACGGCAGCACAGUAGGAGCUUGCUCUUACGGGUGGCGAGUGGCGGACGGGUGAGGAAUACAUCGGAAUCUACCUUUUGGUGGGGGGAUAACGUAGGGAAACUUACGCUAAUACCGCAUACGCCCUUCGGGGGAAAGCCGGGGACCAGCAAUGGCCUGGCGCUGAUAGAUGAGCCGAUGUCGGAUUAGCUAGUUGGUGAGGUAAUGGCUCACCAAGGCGACGAUCCGUAGCUGGUCUGAGAGGAUGAUCAGCCACACUGGAACUGAGACACGGUCCAGACUCCUACGGGAGCAGCAGUGGGGAAUAUUGGACAAUGGGCGCAAGCCUGAUCCAGCCAGUACCGCGUGGUGAAGAAGGCCUUCGGUUGACAAACGCCCUUUUAGGUACGGAAAGAAAGC
rnacentral:rRNA from 1 species